rnacentral:rRNA from 1 species
GACGAACGCUGGCGGCGUGCCUAAUACAUGCAAGUCGAACGAGCGGCGGACGGGUGAGUAAUGUAUGGGGACUGCCCGAUAGAGGGGGAUAACUACUGGAAACGGUGGCGAAUACCGCAUACUAUCGGAUAACCCAUAUGGGAUUAGCUAGUAGGUGGGGUAAAGGCUCACCUAGGCGACGAUCGCUAGCUGGUCUGAGAGGAUGAUCAGCCACCCUGGGACUGAGACACGGCCCAGACUCCUACGGAGGUAGCAGAGGGGAAUAUUGCACAAUGGGCGCAAUCCUGAUGCAGCCAUGCCGCGUGUAUGAAGAAGGCCUUAGGGUUGUAAAGUACUUUCAGCGGGGAGGCGUUACCCUCAGAAGAAGCACCGGCUAACUCCGUGCCAGCCGCCGCGGUAAUAC